rnacentral:rRNA from 1 species
GUCCACGCCGUAAACGAAUGGGUGGCUAGGCGUCGGGGGGAGGGCGACCCCUUCCGGUGCCGUCGCUAACGACAAUAAGCACCCCGCCCUGGGGAGGUACGGUCGCAAGACUGAAACUCAAAGGAAUUGACGGGGGCCCGGCACAAGCGGUGGAGCAUGUGGUUUAAUUCGAAGCAACGCGAAGAACCUUACCUGGGCUUGACAUGCACGGGAAAGCCGGUGGAAACAUCGGCCCCUCUUCGGAGUCCGUGCACAGGUGCUGCAUGGCUGUCGU